GGGGAGUAUUGGACAAUGGGGGCAACCCUGAUCCAGCAAUGCCGCGUGGGUGAUGAAGGCCUUCGGGUUGUAAAGCCCUUUCGGCGGGGACGAUGAUGACGGUACCCGCAGAAGAAGCCCCGGCUAACUUCGUGCCAGCAGCCGCGGUAAUACGAAGGGGGCUAGCGUUGUUCGGAAUGACUGGGCGUAAAGGGCGCGUAGGCGGCGCAUUUAGUCAGGCGUGAAAGCCCUGGGCUCAACCUAGGAAUUGCGUUUGAUACUGGUGCGCUGGAGUGCGGGAGAGGAUGGUGGAAUUCCCAGUGUAGAGGUGAAAUACGUAGAUAUUGGGAAGAACACCGGUGGCGAAGGCGGCCAUCUGGACCGUUACUGACGCUGAGGCGCGAAAGCGUGGGGAGCAAAC
rnacentral:rRNA from 1 species